AAGAUUCCCUGUCUAAGGUCAGUUAGGAUCACCACUUUAUUUUAAGAAUGUGAAAUGUCAGAAUAAUAGGAGAGAAAAUUAUUUAUUUCAGCUUUUAUUUCUUUCAUCACAUUCCCAGUGGGUCAGAAGUUAACAUAAACUCAAUUAGUAUUUGGUAGCAUUGCCUUUAAAUUGUUUAACUUGGGUCAAAUGUUUUGGGUAGCUUCCCACAAUACGAUGGGGGAAUUUCAGCCCAUUCCUCCUGACAGAGCUGGUGUAACUGAGUCAGGUUUGUAGGCCUCAUUCCUCCUGACAGAGCUGGUGUAACUGAGUCAGGUUUGUAGGCCUCCUCCUUUUCAGUUCUGCCCACAAAUUGUCUAUAGGCUUGAGGUCAGGGCUUUGUGAUGGCCACUCCAAUACCUUGACUUUGUUGUCCAUAGGCCAUUUUGCCACAACUUUGGAAGUAUGCUUGGGGACAUUGUCCAUUUGGAAGACCCAUUUGCGGCCAAGCUUUAACUUCCUGACUGAUGUCUUGAGAUGUUGCUUCAAUAUACCCCUUGCAAGCCUCCCCCUUUUUCCUCCAUACACAACGAUGGGCAUUAUGGCCAAACAGUUCUAUUUUUGUUUCAUCAGAACAGAGGACAUUUCUCCAAAAAGUACGAUCUUUGUCCCCAUGUGCAGUUGCAAACUGUAGUCUGGCUUUUUUUAUGGCUGUUUUGGAGCAGUGGCUUCUUCCUUGCUGAGCGGCCUUUCAGGUUAUGUCGAUAUAGGACUCAUUUUACUGUGGAUAUAGAUACUUUUGUACCUGUUCCCUCCAGCAUCUUCACAAGGUCCUUUGCUGUUGUUCUGGGAUUGAUUUGCACUUUUCGCACCAAAGUAAGUUCAUCUCUAGGAGACAGAAUGCGUCUCCUUCCAGAGCGGUAUGAUGGCUGCGUGGUCCCAUGGUGUUUAUACUUGUGUACUAUUGUUUGUACAGAUGAACCUUCAGGCAUUUGGACAUUUCUCCAAAGGAUGAUCCAAACAAUGUAUUUUCUGAGGUCUUGACUGAUUUCUUUUGAUUUUCUCAUGAUGUCAAGCAAAGAGGCACUGAGUUUGAAGGUCGGCCUUGAAAUACAUCCUGAGGUACACUUCCAAUUGACGCAAAUGAUGUCAAUUAGCCUAUCAGAAUCUUCUAAAGCCAUGACAUAAUUUUCUGGAAUUUUCCAAGCUGUUUAAAGGCACAGUCAACUUAGUGUAUGUAAACUUCUGACCCACUGGAAUUGUGAUACAGUGAAUUAUAAGUGAAAUCAUCUGUCUGUAAACAAAUGUUGGAAAAAUGACUUGUGUCAUGCACAAAGUAGAUGUCCUAACCGACUUGCCAAAACUAUAGUGUGUUUACAAGAAAUGUGUGGUGUGGUUGAAAAACGACUUUUAAAUGACUCCAACCUAAGUGUAUGUAAACUUCCGGCGUCAACUAUAUGUAAGACAUGUUAUGACAUUUAUUUAUUAUUAUUAUUUUUUAAACCUUUAUUUAACCAGGCAAGUCAGUUAAGAACAAAUUCCUAUUUUCAAUGACAGCCUAGGAACAGUGGGUUAACUGCCUGUUCAGGGGCAGAACGACAGAUUUGUACCUUGUCAGCUCGGGGGUUUGAACUUGCAACCUUCCGGUUACUAGUCCAACGCUCUAACCACUAGGCUACCCUGCCGUCAUUACAAAUAACAAAUAUAAACCAAAUACACUUUUCCCCCUCAAACUUUAUUCAGGACAUGCUUACAUUAGCUUUCGGGACACAAAUCCUAUUUCCAUUGGACACAGAAACAGUAGAAAAAGACUAAAAAUUGACCACUUCAUUUGACCUUUUUGACAUGACCACUUAACGAAUGCAAACAACCUUUCCAAAGACCGACCGAGUUACAACAACAACUUUCUCAACAGGACCAUGUGAAAGUACAAACGUCGAAGUCUACAAAAAGAGAGAAAGGAAAUUGUAGAAAAUUAAAUAAAAUCAUUACAAAUAAGAGUUGGGUUUUUUUUAAAGCGAGAGACUUUUAAAACCACUGUUUUAUUGUUCACAGCUCCACGUAUCCCUGUGUAUCCUUGGCAACAACGUGGCUGGUCAAUAGCCUGGAAUCCUGACUGCUAUGCUCUGUUUCACCAAGUCAGUGGAGCAUUCAGUAUGGCUGAACCAGGCUAGGGUUUCAAAGCACCAGGAUGUUUGGUCUUUAUAUACAAAAAAUAUAAAAGUCACACGAUGACAGUGGAACAUGGUUGUGCUAUAAAGACAAAAACACAGAUCCAGUAUACAGAUGAUAUGGGCUUCCCUGUACCUCCUAUAUAGACAUGAAGGAUUCGAGAAGUUCUUAUUCUGACUGAAUAGAAGGAUUGGAGAAGUUCUUAUUCUGACUGACUGAAUAGAAGGAUUGGAGAAGGUCUUAUUCUGACUGACUGACUGAAUAGAAGGAUUGGAGAAGGUCUUAUUCUGACUGACUGAAUAGAAGGAUUGGAGAAGGUCUUAUUCUGACUGACUGACUGAAUAGAAGGAUUGGAGAAGGUCUUAUUCUGACUGACUGAAUAGAAGGAUUGGAGAAGGUCUUAUUCUGACUGACUGACUGAAUAGAAGGAUUGGAGAAGUUCCUAUUCUGACUGACUGAAUAGAAGGAUUGGAGAAGGUCUUAUUCUGACUGACUGACUGAAUAGAAGGAUUGGAGAAGGUCUUAUUCUGACUGACUGAAUAGAAGGAUUGGAGAAGGUCUUAUUCUGACUGACUGACUGAAUAGAAGGAUUGGAGAAGGUCUUAUUCUGACUGACUGACUGAAUAGAAGGAUUGGAGAAGGUCUUAUUCUGACUGACUGAAUAGAAGGAUUGGAGAAGGUCUUAUUCUGACUGACUGACUGAAUAGAAGGAUUGGAGAAGGUCUUAUUCUGACUGAAUAGAAGGAUUGGUGAAGUUCUUAUUCUGACUGAAUAGAAAGAUUGGUGAAGUUCAUAUUCUGACUGAAUAGAAGGAUUGGUGAAGUUCUUAUUCUGACUGAAUAGAAGGAUUUGUGAAGUUCUUAUUCUGACUGAAUAGAAGGAUUGGUGAAGUUCUUAUUCUGACUGAAUAGAAGGAUUGGUGAAGUUCUUAUUCUGACUGAAUAGAAAGAUUGGUGAAGUUCCUAUUCUGACUGACUGAAUAGAAGGAUUGGUGAAGUUCUUAUUCUGACUGAAUAGAAAGAUUGGUGAAGUUCCUAUUCUGACUGACUGAAUAGAAGGAUUGGUGAAGUUCUUAUUCUGACUGACUGAAUAGAAGGAUUGGUGAAGUUCUUAUUCUGACUGACUUAAUAGAAGGAUUGGUGAAGUUCUUAUUCUGACUGAAUAGAAGGAUUGGUGAAGUUCCUAUUCUGACUGACUGAAUAGAGGAUUGGUGAAGUUCUUAUUCUGACUGACUGAAUAGAAGGAUUGGUGAAGUUCUUAUUCUGACUGACUAGAAGGAUUGGUGAAGUUCUUAUUCUGACUUACUGAAUAGAAGGAUUGGUGAAGUUAUUAUUCUGACUGAAUAGAAAGAUUGGUGAAGUUAUUAUUAUGACUGACUGACUGAAUAGAAGGAUUGGUGAAGUUAUUACUCCGACUGACUGAAUAGAAGGAUUGGUGACGUUCUUAUUAUGACUGACUGACUGAAUAGAAGGAUUGGUGAAGUUAUUACUCCGACUGACUGAAUAGAAGGAUUGGUGAAGUUCCUAUUCUGACUGACUGGCUGAAUAGGAGGAUUGGUGAAGUUCUUAUUCUGACUGAAUAGAAGGAUUGGUGAAGUUCUUAUUCUGACUGACUGAAUAGAAGGAUUGGUGAAGUUCUUAUUCUGACUGAAUAGAAGGAUUGGUGAAGUUCUUAUUCUGACUGACUGAAUAGAAGGAUUGGUGAAGUUCUUAUUCUGACUGACUGAAUAGAAGGAUUGGUGAAGUUCUUAUUCUGACUGAAUAGAAGGAUUGGUGAAGUUCUUAUUCUGACUGAAUAGAAGGAUUGGUGAAGUUCUUAUUCUGACUGAAUAGAAGGAUUGGUGAAGUUCUUAUUCUGACUGAAUAGAAGGAUUGGUGAAGUUUUUAUUCUUACUGAAUAGAAAGAUUGGUGAAGUUCUUAUUCUGACUGACUGACUGAAUAGAAGUAUUGGUGAAGUUCUUAUUCUGACUGAAUAGAAGGAUUGGUGAAGUUCUUAUUCUGACUGACUGAAUAGAAGGAUUGGUGAAGUUCUUAUUCUGACUUACUGAAUAGAAGGAUUGGUGAAGUUAUUAUUCUGACUGACUGAAUAGAAGGAUUGGUGAUGUUCCUAUUCUGACUGACUGAAUAGAAGGAUUGGUGAAGUUCUUAUUCUGACUGACUGAAUAGAAGGAUUGGUGAAGUUCCUAUUCUGACUGAAUAGAAGGAUUGGUGAAGUUCCUAUUCUGACUGACUGAAUAGAAGGAUUGGUGAAGUUCCUAUUCUGACUGAAUAGAAGGAUUGGUGAAGUUCCUAUUCUGACUGACUGAAUAGAAGGAUUGGUGAAGUUCCUAUUCUGACUGAAUAGAAGGAUUGGUGAAGUUCCUAUUCUGACUGACUGAAUAGAAGGAUUGGUGAAGUUCCUAUUCUGACUGAAUAGAAGGAUUGGUGAAGUUCCUAUUCUGACUGACUGAAUAGAAGGAUUGGUGAAGUUCCUAUUCUGACUGAAUAGAAGGAUUGGUGAAGUUCCUAUUCUGACUGACUGAAUAGAAGGAUUGGUGAAGUUCUUAUUCUGACUGACUGAAUAGAAGGAUUGGUGAAGUUCCUAUUCUGACUGAAUAGAAGGAUUGGUGAAGUUCCUAUUCUGACUGACUGAAUAGAAGGAUUGGUGAAGUUCCUAUUCUGACUGACUGAAUAGAAGGAUUGGUGAAGUUCCUAUUCUGACUGACUGAAUAGAAGGAUUGGUGAAGUUCUUAUUCUGACUGACUGAAUAGAAUUAUUGGUGAAGUUCCUAUUCUGACUGACUGAAUAGAAGGAUUGGUGAAGUUCCUAUUCUGACAGACUGAAUAGAAGGAUUGGUGAAGUUCCUAUUCUGACUGAAUAGAAGGAUUGGUGAAAUUCCUAUUCUGACUGACUGAAUAGAAGGAUUGGUGAAGUUCCUAUUCUGA